rnacentral:rRNA from 1 species
UACGUAGGUGACCAGCGUUGUCCGGAUUUACUGGGCGUAAAGCGCACGUAGGCGGCUUAGCAAGUCGGAUGUGAAAUCCCUCGGCUCAACCAAGGAAGUGCAUCCGAAACUGCUGAGCUUGAGUACGAAAGAGGAUCGCGGAAUUCCCGGUGUAGAGGUGAAAUUCGUAGAUAUCGGGAGGAACACCAGUGGCGAAGGCGGCGAUCUGGGUCGAUACUGACGCUGAGGUGCGAAAGCGUGGGGAGCAAACAGG